AUUAAGUGACCUGUUUCUAAUAAAGUAUAAACUUCAUCAUCGCUGGAUAGCUUUUACCUUAAACUGUAAUGCCAUAACCUUUGGACUGCCGAGAUUCUAGAAAGAUCCAUAAAUCUACUUACCGUGAUAGUCUGGAUAGGACUCUACAAAUAGGAGAAGUUAAAAUACUCUGACAAGACUUGAAAGAGUACGUCACUAAUACCUAAACUGUCAUGAUUAAGUCAUACAAAUUGAUUAAGCCUUGCUUAUUGAGAUGACAUCAAAACUCUAGUAGAAUCUUUUUUGACACCGCCAACACGAACAGGACUGCAACAACUUCAAUAAAGCAAAAAAUAACAGAGAACUCACACCUUCAUCGAAGCCACCUCAGUUAGGAUGGAUGUUCAUUAGAUGUGGAUUAACUACUCGCCGGUCAGAUAAAGUACGAAGACAAAUUUAAAAUAAUCUUUUGUUUUGCCAACGACGUGAUGCCGUGCACUCUGAAGUGGGUCAAUCGAGUUAUAGCGAUGGAAAAUAAGCGGCGGGUUCUCCAAGGGUCUUUCCACGUAGAGAAAAUGGAAUAUUGAUAAAAAGAAAGAAAAAAAGACUCGAUUCCGGAAAACAAUUAGAAAGCAAUAAGAAAACAGCCCUCCCCAAAAAGAAAAGCUGAGAAAUUAUUAAAUGGUGUUAGACAGAUCAUCGUAUAUCAUUUCGGCUUUCAGGAAAUAAAUAGUCGAGCUUCUGGCCAACACAAAGAACAAAACAAGAAUUAUUUCGGGCAUCACUCGGACGAAAAAAACAGCGAAAAGUCUGGGUACACACGAACGCUUAAGAGUAAUUUAUCUUUAUAGCUUUGGAGCAAACGUAAACGCCAACUUCACCUAUCGAACGUGCUAAGCAGGAAUAUCAACCAGAUCUCACCCAGAUGGGAAUGCCUUGACAGCGCACGAAAUAGACAGCUGCCAUAAAAGAAACGAUUCUGCGCAUUUAUUUUAGGGGAAUUCCCAAACCUUACUGUAACGGAGCAAAUGGUGGCUGACCAAUACCGUAUAAUUAGCCAAAACGGACUUAUCCCAGAGACACGACGCAACACAAUUCAAAAUUUUAUAGAAAUGCUAAUUAGAAGUCAUCGGGAUCGUGAAGAACAAACUGGGCCAAAAGAAGAAGUGCUUCCUGUAGAAAGAAUGGGCCUACCAGAACUAACUACUCAAGAAUCCGGACCAAACGAUCGAAGUUCUCGAAAAUAAUCUGGAGUAUAAUGGAAUUUAGAAGAUCCAUGAUAGAAUAUGCCGGCUCUGACCCACUUAAAAGGCCCACACUACAAUGCUAAGCUCAACGAAAAAACUUGGAACUAUGAUAGAUACUCAAGCCUAGAUGAACGACACACGAUAACCAGAUGGUUGGGUAAAAAGCUUAGGGCAAAACCCCAAAAAGAACAAGUUAGAAAAAAGUACCAAACACCGGUGUGGGAGAAACGACUGCAAAAAAGAUAGAGUAUAUUCGAGGAGAUAUUGGGCGACUAACUCAUGCAGUAGUCGCCCAAUGCAGUAUGCAGCGGGAACUAGAACAAAGAAAGUGCAAAAGAAGAGUCGAGCAAAUAAUUUCUGAGAACAGCAUAGACGCCCAAUAUAUCGCAAAAAACACAUCUGUCCAACACUGCCUAGAUACACUCAAACAAAAACUUAGUAUAUAUACUGCUCGUUUAAAACGAUACAAGCAAAGUAAUAAAAGAAAAUAAGAUAAGGCACUUUUCAUCAAACAAAAAAAGACAUUCUUUCGUAAUCUUAAUUCUAGACACCUGAUAACUGCAGAAAACAAUACAUAUCCUACUAAAGAAGUUAUUCAGCAGUUCUGGAAAGACCACCUUAAAAUAUCGGCACAAUGCAAUCAACGCGCCUUUCUUCAUUAAUCCAAGCGUUGGAUUAAUGAAGAAAGAGAAAGUGUCGCUAAUGUCCCUGAAAUGAAACAUAAUCCCUUGAUAACCAAUGAAGCCACAAAUAUUAUAAAAAAUGCAUACAAUUGGAAAUCACCGGGACCUGAUGGAAUACACAAUUUCUAGAUAAAGCAGUUAGGGUGUCACACACGACCAAUUAACGGAGUUUUUUAAUGACAUAUUGAUUUACACAGCGAUCCACUUAUCUUCUGCCCUUAAUAAACAGUAUCCCGCAAAAUACCGCCUAAUUACCUGCUUGACGAUGUAUAAGAUUCUUACUUUGUGUAUUGCCCAGAGGAUCUACGAGCAUUGCGAACACAAGCAAAUUAUUGCAGAUGAGCAAUAGCAACUGAUCAUUGACUCUACGAUAGCGAUGACCUUAAACUACUGGCAGCCACAAAACAUCAACUGAACCAAAUGCCUAAAAUCUUUGAUGAAUUUUCCAUAUACAUUACCAUGAAUUUUGGGAAGGAAAAAGUAUCGAACUCUUAUCCAAAAGGAAUAUCCAAAAAGGUAAGGUUAAUCAAGGUGAUUUUCAGAUGAAGAAUAGAAACUGGAACCAGUCAAUGCAAGUAGGGGAGACUUAUACUCGUAAGUACUGAGGGGUUAAACAAGCACAAAGAAUCGAUCAUCGGACCAUGAAAGAAAAACUUAUAACAGAACUUCAAGAAAGGAUGAGACGGGUUCUACGUACUAGACUUAAUAGCAAGAAUCUUCCUAAGACAAUUAACACAUACGCCUGUUUAGUGUUGGGCUACUCAUUUAGUGUAAUUACAUGGAUAAAAUGGAUAUUGCCAAACAAAGAAAAAUGAGAACCCUCCUUACCAAGUAUAAAUACCAUCAACCCAGAAAUGCGGUUGAGAGAACCAUGCAUCGUGGUAUGCGAGGGAGGAAGAGGAUUUUUUGAUCUAGAAAAGCAAUUGGAGCAACAAAUUAUUAAUUUAAGAAAUUAAUUUUUUAAAAAGUUUGUGGAUUCAUCUCACCAUGCAGCUAUUUGCCAAAUAGACGAGUUUAGCCUUAAACUUAAACUGAAAAAUAAAGAAAAUGUAAUCAACCAUCAAACAACAAUUGACCAACAUUAACGAGUUCAUGCAAGAACAUGUUGACAAAUGUUCGUCAAAUUAUUAGCCGAUCUCAGGACAAAUGUUUCGCGAAACAAAGGGUUCACACCUUAAGUUUUGUAAUUUUCGAAUUUGUUUAGUUAACUAUGAAGCUCUAAGUUGCUCGUUGCUUUAACUUUACGAUAAGACACGUGAAUAUUAAAAAUGAUACUAAUUAGAUAAAUAAAAAAUGUUAACUUUUUUCUCUACAUUACGUUCCCAAAAAAUUUUAUGCCAUGCAAGCCCCUGUAAAUCG